CUAUAUUAAAAAGAAAUAUUUUUUUUUAUUCGCAGCUCACCUAGAUAGUGUUGAUAUUACUGAUCAGGACAA